rnacentral:rRNA from 1 species
UACGAAGGGGGCUAGCGUUGCUCGGAUUGACUGGGCGUAAAGGGCGCGUAGGCGGUUCGUACAGUCAGACGUGAAAUUCCUGGGCUCAACCUGGGGGCUGCGUUUGAUACGUGCGGACUUGAGUGCGGAAGAGGGUCGCGGAAUUCCCGGUGUAGAGGUGAAAUUCGUAGAUAUCGGGAGGAACACCGGUGGCGAAGGCGGCGACCUGGGUAGAUACUGACGCUGAGGCGCGAAAGCGUGGGGAGCAAACAGG